ACUGAAGUGACUGUUGACAAUGGAAUACAAUACGCCACCAUCGCCCACGUUGGACAUGACAGGCGUGGUGUGCAGGAGAUGGAGCCCACCACAACGUAUGCCACGGUGAGCCGCUCCCGCAGCCAGCCCCGAUAGCGCUCCAGCACGGCGAGGGCACAGGGAGCCUUGCCCACCUUGGCCUUUUCUCUCGGGCAGAGAGCUCCCGCCCUGGGAAAAUGGGGCUGCUCUAUUCUGGAGGACUUGCACCAAAACUGUCUCUGUGAUGGGCACAGAUAUGUACAAUGUGUGAUAGCUCAAUGCAUAAAAAAUACAUGCUCUCUAAUGUGAAUGUACAGGUGAGCAGACAUCUCCUUCUGCACCUCGAGUGCAGACAUCUCCUUCCCACUCUGUAACGUGGAACGUGUGUGUCCAUAAACUGCGUGACACAGCUACGGGUGGGCUCUGAUAUCUCCCCGCACCCACGCACGGCUGUAGAGACGGGGACCCAGAGCCACGGGCACUGAGGUGCUCACACCUCUCUCUCAAGAGCUCUGGGCAAGGAGGAGGCAAUUUGGCUCCAAGGAACAAGAAACCUCCCGGGAUUCCUCUCAGCGCUGGCACCUCUCUCGGAUCCGGUCCCUUCAGGAAUGGCCUUGAGCUGCCCAGAGACAGCCCUAGAGAUACAAAGGGGGGCUGUCGAGAUCUGAAGGGACUGUGGA